rnacentral:rRNA from 1 species
UGGUCCCUACGGGGGGCAGCAGUGAGGAAUAUUGGUCAAUGGGCGGUAGCCUGAACCAGCCAAGUAGCGUGAAGGAUGAAGGUUCUAUGGGUUGUAAACUUCUUUUAUAAAGGAAUAAAGUGAGGCACGUGUGCCUUUUUGUAUGUACUUUAUGAAUAAGGAUCGGCUAACUCCGUGCCAGCAGCCGCGGUAAUACGGAGGAUCCGAGCGUUAUCCGGAUUUAUUGGGUUUAAAGGGAGCGUAGAUGGGUUGUUAAGUCAGUUGUGAAAGUUUGCGGCUCAACCGUAAAAUUGCAAUUGAUCCUG